rnacentral:rRNA from 1 species
AUUGAACGCUGGCGGCAUGCUUUACACAUGCAAGUCGAACGGCAGCGCGGGCUUCGGCCUGGCGGCGAGUGGCGAACGGGUGAGUAAUACAUCGGAACGUGCCCAGUAGUGGGGGAUAGCUCGGCGAAAGCCGGAUUAAUACCGCAUACGACCUGAGGGUGAAAGCGGGGGAUCUUCGGACCUCGCGCUAUUGGAGCGGCCGAUGGCAGAUUAGCUAGUUGGUGGGGUAAAGGCCUACCAAGGCGACGAUCUGUAGCUGGUCUGAGAGGACGACCAGCCACACUGGGACUGAGACACGGCCCAGACUCCGACGGGAGGCAGCAGUGGGGAAUUUUGGACAAUGGGCGAAAGCCUGAUCCAGCAAUGCCGCGUGUGUGAUGAAGGCCUUCGGGUUGUAAAGCACUUUUGGCGGGAACGAAAAGGACUGUGCCAAUACCACGGUUCGAUGACGGUACCCGCAGAAGAAGCACCGGCUAACUACGU